AUAGAUUGUCAACGAUUGACAAUGCAACUGUAUUGUCAAGAAGGGCUUCUUUCUCGUUCCAGAUUCCUCUUUCUUGCUUCUUUGUCGUCAUGGAUGUUUUAAGCGGGAAUGUACUCAAUAAUGGCGGAAGGCAAGUAAUACGCACAUGUUUCAGACUCUUUUUCCCGUAUGAUGGAUUCGCUUUAUGUUUUAUGUUUAUUUUUUCAUCAAGACACAAAAUGAGUUUCUAACUUUAAGUUUUGUAACUAAUUUAACUAGGCAUUGUAUUCUGAAGAGUUCAACCACUGCUUCCGUUGCGUGCGUAAGGAAAUCGCUUGGUAAAAAAUUGAAUAAUACGGGAUUCCGAAAUAGAAGCAAACUUCUCGUGGUCUUCGGGUCUGUGUUUUUUGAAGUAGCAAUAAUGGUAGAGGUUAGUUGCGUGGAAAUUGUUUUGAUUAAAGUUUCAAAGGAAGGUGCUGCCGGUUAGCUAAAGUUAUCUGAGAUUUCUUCCUAGCUGUAUAUUUUCCUGUUUUAAAACCUGUAAAUUCAGUUGCGUGCCCUCUACUUGUUAAACAACCGCUUCUGGCUGGCAACAUGUUAUUUAGACUGAAAAUCAAAAGGAACAGCUCAGUUGGGAAGUAGCAUGGAUUCUAUGGAGAUUUAACCAACAAAUCAGCAGAGUUGCCAAGAAAAUAUUAAACACAGCAUAACAAAAAUGACAUUUAUUGUCUAAAGUUUGUUGGAAGCCACUGAAUCACAAAGAUGCAAUGGUUUCCUGCCAACCUGACCUUGUAACUAGAGUUGUUUUUUAUAACAUGAGAUUCUUGGGGGUCAACAAAUGAAUGUUUCACUCACAUCUCACAGUGCUUGUUGUCCCUAAACAGAAAAUCUACAGACUAAACUAUAUGUACAAUGUGUUUAAAGAAGGAGUACGCACUGCACAUGGAAGUAGAUAUGUUGAAUUGAUUGAUUGUCAACUGCCUAGUCUACUGUAUAUAUUUUUUUUAGAUUUUUGUUGGUGAAUAAAUGCAUAUUAGGUUGGCACAUCAACCUAUAUUA